UACGUAGGUGGCAAGCGUUGUCCGGAUUUACUGGGCGUAAAGAGCGCGCAGGCGGCUGGUCAAGUCCGAUGUGAAAUCUCCCGGCUUAACUGGGAAACUGCAUCGGAAACUGAUCGGCUUGAAGGUGGGAGAGGGUAGUGGAAUUCCUGGUGUAGCGGUGAAAUGCGUAGAGAUCAGGAAGAACACCAGUGGCGAAGGCGCUCUGCUAGGCCGUAACUGACACUGAGGGACGAAAGCUAGGGGAGCGAAUGGG
rnacentral:rRNA from 1 species